CCCUUAGAUGUUCUGGGCCGCACGCGCGCUACACUGACGAAGUCAGCGAGCAUGUCCUACGCCGACAGGUGCGGGGAAUCUUGUCAAACUUCGUCGUGAUGGGGAUUGAUUAUUGAAAUUCUUGAUCAUCAACGAGGAAUUCCUAGUAAGCGCAAGUCAGCAGCUUGCGUUGAUUACGUCCCUGCCCUUUGUACACACCGCCCGUCGCUACUACCGAUUGAAUGGUUUAGUGAGAAUUUUGGACUGGAACUCCCUUGCUCAGCAAUGGGCGAGGGGGAGUCCGGGAAGCUAUUCUAACUGUAUCAUUUAGAGGAAGUAAAAGUCGUAACA
rnacentral:rRNA from 1 species